rnacentral:rRNA from 1 species
CUACGGGUGGCUGCAGUGGGGAAUAUUGGACAAUGGGGGCAACCCUGAUCCAGCAAUGCCGCGUGUGUGAAGAAGGCCUGCGGGUUGUAAAGCACUUUCAAUUGGGAAGAAAAGGGGUUGGUUAAUACCCGACCUUCUUGACGUUACCUUUAGAGGAAGCACCGGCUAACUCCGUGCCAGCAGCCGCGGUAAUACGGAGGGUGCGAGCGUUAAUCGGAAUUACUGGGCGUAAAGCGUGCGUAGGCGGCGGAUUAAGUCAGAUGUGAAAGCCCUGGGCUCAACCUGGGAACUGCAUUUGAUACUGGUCUGCUAGGGUCUGGUAGAGGGUAGUGGAAUUCCGUGUGUAGCGGUGAAAUGCGUAGAUAUGCGGAGGAACAUCAGUGGCGAAGGCGGCUGCCUGGACCAAGACUGACGCUGAGGUACGAAAGCGUGGGUAGCAAACAGGAUUAGAUACCCGGGUAGUC